AAGGCUUCACAUCCCAAUUUGAUUUUGCUUACACAGUUUUUUAAAUGUGUUAUGCAAUGCCUAAUUGAAGCCUAGAUAUAGUUCCCCUCGCUAUCCAGUGCUGUAAUCUUAAUGCUGUAUUAGGACGUCGGGGAACAAUAUGU